AAAUAAUCAUAACGUCUGAACAAUGCUAGCAGUUGACAAUGUUAUUCAACCAAACAUAGAAUAUUUUUGGAGUUUACGAAAUUUAAGUGCUAUUUGAGAUUUUUUUGAGAGGUCUGAAAAUAUACGUUUGCAGUAAGCUGGAAUGGGAUGUGGUGGAACAAAAGCAGCACCUUUGCAUCAGAAUGGUGACAGUAUUCCGAAAAACCGUCCAAAAUUUCAGGAAACCAACGGUGUGGAUGUUGGUGUGGUCAUACCUGAAAAAGGAGCCACUCAAAUAAAACCUAUUGAAAUAAGUGUUGAAACUCUACAAAAGUAUUUAGAUUUAGAAAAAGAAAUCCAACGUUUUGAAAAACGUCGUAUUUUAGACAACUAUCAAUUGAAGACAAAUCAGCUUGAACAACUUGAAAAAAACGUACAAGUGCUAGAGGACCAGAAAAACAUCCAAGCUCAAAGUUUGCAUCAGUUACAAGCAGCUAUUGACACUACAAAUGGAACACAAUCAUUAAAAAAAUUUCUAUUUGAGAAAAGUCAAAAUGGUAAAACCUUAAACGAAGAUGAAGAAGAAUAUGUGGAUCUUCUCAAUCGUCAGGAAGUUAACGAAAGACAAUUAGCAACUUCUUGCAAGCAAAGAGAUCUUCUGAAAGAAGAGUUAUCAGCUCUUGCAAUCGAUGGCGAAUUGGUUCAAAAACUGUACGCUCAAAGAGAUGAACUCCUAGAUAGCAUAUUUGGUGGUCAGUAUGGCAGUGAGAGAGAAAACAGACUUGAGAAAGAAUACGAUUUAUUACAGGAGAGAAAAAAUCAUAUUGAUCAAGCACAUUUUAAAUGGAAGCAAGCGGAAAUAAUGAUAAAACAAGCUUGUGCUCAACUUGGAUUGGCUGUUCAAAAAUGGAAAGAGUUGUUGGAGAUAUCUGAAAAGUAAUCCAUAUGUNCUGCUGAGACAAGAAAUAAUUUAGUUGCUGCAAGUCAAAAUCUACAGGGAGCUCAUGGGUUUCUUACAAAUAUAACAUUUCCGUAUUGUGCAGAAGAUGAAGUUGACACCCUAAAUAAGGCCGUAACCUUCAUUUUUACUGACAUGCAAACACCAGAACGUUAUGAACAUGCUCUUAAUUGCUAUCAUACAACUUAUCGCCGGUCUGGAGCCUUAAGGCAGUGGUUUGAUCAGGUGCUGAAUACGACGAUAUCCAAAGAUUUGGCAGAAAUCACUGAAGAAAGUAAGGCCAAAGCUCAAGAACUCAGGCAGGAGCGUAUACAUCUCAUUAAGCGGAAAGUUAAAGACAUCACUGGAAAAGACGUGGACUUCGACACCAGAUCUUUAGAUACAGAAGCUGAAGAAUUAGCAGCCGACGAACAAGUAGCUAAACUUUUUGAAGCGGAAAGACUUGACGGCAAGAGUCAAAACCUAUUACGAGCAACUUCAACUUUACCCCUUGCGCCAACACCUGUGCCAGUAUCGGACUUAGCACCUAUACCUACAAAUGAAGAAAUUUUUGGUAAAAUUGACGAGUUAAGAAAGAAACAUGCAGUUGAAAUGGCAGAUUUCGAAAAAGCUCAAACAAUGAACAAGGCUCGAACAACACAGGGAUUGCAAGAGAAAUUGCAAGCGAGAAGAUCCCGAAGAAGUAGAAUGCAGAAUCAUGAAAGAGAAAUUGAAGAAUUGCAAUCUGCGUGACGAUCACCAUCAUUUCUAUGACAUAUAUUUUCAUUUAUUUGCAAUCUUUUCUAAAUUUGAAACUUCUAAUUAAAAUAAAUUUCUUUCAUGAA
rnacentral:sRNA from 1 species